rnacentral:rRNA from 1 species
CUGCGGAGGAUCAUUAAUGUGUUGCGGACCUCCGCGUCCCUCAUUCCUGGCUGUGCGCCUUCGGGCUGCACGCCGGAACGACACUCAUCCACACCCGUGCACUUUCACGGUGUGAGAGCUUCACCGCUCUCCGCCGCUUCACCACACACGUCGAAUGUCUCGCAUGUCGUUGAUAUACAUCUAUACAACUUUCAGCAACGGAUCUCUUGGCUCUCGCAUCGAUGAAGAACGCAGCGAAAUGCGAUAAGUAAUGUGAAUUGCAGAAUUCAGUGAAUCAUCGAAUCUUUGAACGCACCUUGCGCCCAUUGGCAUUCCACUGGGCACGCCUGUUUGAGUGUCACGUCAACCAUCGCCCGCAACACUUGCUGUCGCGGCGCGGAUUUGGGCGUUGCCGUCGUCGGCUCGCCUCGAAAUGCAUUAGCAGUCGCUGGACCGCGCGUCGGUGUGAUAAUUGUUGGUUAUAUGCGCCGUGCUCGUGUCCGGAGAAUGCUCACAGUCGUCCGCGAGGACAAAUCUAAAGCUCUGGCCUCAAAUCGGGUGGGACUACCCGCUGAACUUAA